rnacentral:rRNA from 1 species
UAUGCUCCAGUAACACGUGGAUAACUGCCCUGAGGGAGGGGGAUAAAUCCGGGAAACCAGGAGAUAAUACCCCAUAGGGCUACCGAAGCUGGAAUGCUCGGUAACCCAAAGCUCCGGCGCCUCAGGAUGGGUCUGCGGCCGAUUUAGGUUGUUGUUGGGGUAACGGCCCAACAAGCCCUGUAAUCGGUACGGGUUGUGAGAGCAAGAGCCCGGAGAUGGAUUCUGAGACAUGAAUCCAGGCCCUACGGGGCGCAGCAGGCGCGAAAACUUUACAAUGCGAGCAAUCGUGAUAAGGGAACCCCGAGUGCCUGUACACACAGGCUGUUCAGGUGUGUAAAAAACAUCUGGAGAAAGGGCCGGGCAAGACCGGUGCCAGCCGCCGCGGUAAUACCGGCGGCUCGAGUGGUGGCCACUAUUACUGGGCUUAAAGCGUCCGUAGCUGGGCUGUUAAGUCCCUUGGGAAAUCUCACGGCUUAACCGUGAGGCGUUCAAGGGGUACUGGCAGUCUUGUGACCGGGGGAGGUGAGAGGUACUCCGGGGGUAGGAGUGAAAUCCUGUAAUCCCCGGGGGACCACCUGUGGCGAAGGCGUCUCACCAGAACGGCUCCGACAGUGAGGGACGAAAGCUGGGGGAGCAAACCGGAUUAGAUACCCGGGUAGUCCCAGCUGUAAACGAUGCGCGUUAGGUGUAUCGGUGACCACGUGUUACCGAGGUGCCGAAGAGAAAUCGUGAAACGUGCCGCCUGGGAAGUACGGUCGCAAGGCUGAAACUUAAAGGAAUUGGCGGGGGAGCAC